UACUCGAGUGGCGAACGGGUGAGUAACACGUGGGUGAUCUGCCCUGCACUUCGGGAUAAGCUUGGGAAACUGGGUCUAAUACCGGAUAGGACCGCACUUUAGUGUGUGUGGUGGAAAGUUUUUUCGGUGUAGGAUGAGCCCGCGGCCUAUCAGCUUGUUGGUGGGGUAAUGGCCUACCAAGGCGGCGACGGGUAGCCGGCCUGAGAGGGUGUACGGCCACAUUGGGACUGAGAUACGGCCCAG
rnacentral:rRNA from 1 species